UUCAGGCAAUUUCGCUCCCCAAGAUGCGAUUCAUCGCUCUCUAUACUCAAAUCAUCCAUGUAUUAACCUUCAAUCCACCGCUCUCGUUCUCACCCUUCAAUCCAUUGCUCCAUCGUCUUCAAUCUUCAACCUUCAAUCUUCAACAAUCUGCCCAAGACGACGAUUACCAAUUCUGUUUAGGGUUCUGCCUCCAUCGUCGUCUUCUUCAAUCUUCAACCUUCCAGGUCUGAGCAUAUAAUCCUAAUCAAUCCAUCGCUUCCAUUGUCAUCUUCCUUCAAGCUUCAAUCAAGGUUCUAGGGUGGAGAUUCUAGCAUUAAGAGGGUAAAGGUUGAGCAAGAGGUAGAAUCACAUGCUAUUGGUGGACCACAAUCAGUAGAUCAGAGAACUGAUGAUGUAGAGCAGCAUAUGGAUGCUAUAUUCAAAAUCUUCACAAAGAUCAGUUCUAUGGUGCAAAAUUCCAACUCUUUUUCUUUGAAAUAUAUUUGUUUUAUGUUAAAGUUCAUUAUAGCUGGUUCAACAAGCUCUAACCUUUCAUGUUUAAUUAGUUUUUUAUAGAACCACGUAAGAUUACGGGUAAAAUUCCAUGCUUUUACGUAACUUACCGGGUAAGAUUUUAAUCUAUUAAAAUGAUAUCAUAUGCAACAUUUUUUUUUAGUAAGGGGACGUUUACCAAACGCUUAUCUGGGUAAGUGCUUACCAAGUAACAUUACCUCACUGUGUGAAUAUGGUAAAGACCAAGUAUCUUACCCGGUAAGAGCGAGACAAGGACCAAGAGUCUUAUCCGGUAAGUGAUGCGAUAACUCUUACCACGGUAAGCGCUUACCGGGUAAAUUGUUGCAUACGAUGUCGUUUUGGUGAAUUGAAAUCUUACCCGGUAAGUAAAUAAUAAUGUUAAAUUUUACCGGUAAGCACUUACCGGGUAAGUGUUUGGUAAACGGCCCCUAAGUGUUUACAUGGUAAAAGUCAUUGCUUUCACUUAUGGGUAAGACUCUCGAUCCUUCUCAUCACUCUUACCGGGUAAGUUUUUUAAUCCUUGUUAUGUUCAUCCGAUCAAGUAAAGUGACCUGGUAAGCAUGUACUAGGUAAGUGAUUAGUAAACGGCUCCAUGGACCACAUGAUUUGCUUUAACAACUGAUCGUGUGUAAUGUGAUUUCUACUUGUCUAUAACCACAAAUUUUUAAUAAGUUUCAAGUUUAUCAUAGACACUAUGGGUUUGUUUACUAAAUGCUUAUUGGAUAUGCCUACGACUAAGAAUCUUACCUGGUUAGAAGCAAUGCAAUGAUCGAUAAUCUUACGCGGUAAUUGAGAAAAAAUGUUGACUCUUAACGGUAAGUACUUACCGGGUAAGCAUCUUGUAAACGGCCCCUUACUGUUAAAAAUAUUUUCAAGUUUAUGAUGGACACUAUGGGUUUGUUUACUAAAUGCUUAUUGGAUAUGCCUAGGACUAAGAAUCUUACCUAGUUAGAAGCAAUGCAAUGAUCGAAAAUCUUAUGCGGUAAUUGAGGGAAAAUGUUGACUCUUAAAGGUAAGUACUUACCGGGUAAGCAUCUGAUAAAGUGUAAUAACCCAAAAGAAGAAAAAAGAAAAAGAAAAAAGAAAAUGAUUGCUAGAUAAUAAAUUAUAGAGAUUGGUUAUGUAAAUGUAGGGAAAGUGAAUGGUUUAUAACUAACAUUGAUGGUAAUUCAAUGUCAUGCUAACCAAUGGGCUUGAAACCCCCAAGACUUAUCGUUUCCUUUUCCAUAACUACCGAUAGCUUAGCAUAAAAAGGGGAUUUUCUAACCUUAUAUGAAUUUUGGUCGAUAAGGAGAACUAUUACGGACAAAGGCAACGGUAGACACUGAAACAAAAGUCGACGGUAUUGUACAUCGCAGCUAAUUCGACGCCAAUCGGUAAG